GGACCUUCUCAGACAUUCAGCUGACUACAUCUGGACCAGGAAUGGUGAGACCUGGAGAGAAUCUCCACCUGUUCUGUACAGUGUCGGGACUCUCAGUCUCUGCUCAGUACAGUGUUUGGCACUGGGUCCAGCGGUUUCCUGGGAAACAUUUGGAAUGGCUUGCAUUGUUAUACCCCUAUGACGGAAGCAAGGGGUUUGCCCCGUCUCUGCAGAGCCGGUUGACCAUUUCUUCAGACACUUCAAAAAACCAGGUCUUCCUCCAGCUGAACUCCCUGACAGCUGCUGAUUCGGCUGUGUAUUUCUGUGUCCGGGAACCUUACCACAGUGAGGCAAUGUCCAUUGAAAAUGAAUCAAAAACAGGAACCU